UACAGAGGCCUCAAGCGUUAGGCGGAAUCACUGGGCUUAAAGCGUGUGUAGGCGGGUCGUUAAGUACCUUGUGAAAGCCCCCGGCUCAACUGGGGAGGGUCACGCGAUACUGAUCGACUCGAAGGCAGGAGAGGGAAGUGGAAUUCCCGGUGUAGUGGUGAAAUGCGUAGAUAUCGGGAGGAACACCAGUGGCGAAGGCGACUUCCUGGCCUGUUCUUGACGCUGAGGCGCGAAAGCUAGGGGAGCAAACGGG
rnacentral:rRNA from 1 species